CCUACGGGAGGCAGCAGUGGGGAAUAUUGGACAAUGGGCGAAAGCCUGAUCCAGCAAUGCCGCGUGAGUGAUGAAGGCCUUCGGGUCGUAAAGCUCUUUUACCAGGGAUGAUAAUGACAGUACCUGGAGAAUAAGCUCCGGCUAACUCCGUGCCAGCAGCCGCGGUAAUACGGAGGGAGCUAGCGUUGUUCGGAAUUACUGGGCGUAAAGAGUACGUAGGCGGUUAUUCAAGUCAGAGGUGAAAGCCCGGGGCUCAACCCCGGAACUGCCUUUGAAACUAGAUAACUAGAGUCUUGGAGAGGUUAGUGGAAUUCCGAGUGUAGAGGUGAAAUUCGUAGAUAUUCGGAAGAACACCAGUGGCGAAGGCGACUAACUGGACAAGUACUGACGCUGAGGUACGAAAGCGUGGGGAGCAAACAGGAUUAGGUACCCUGGUAGUCCACGCCGUAAACGAUGAUAACUAGUUGUUCGGUCACUUGGUGACUGAGUGACGCAGCUAACGCAUUAAGUUAUCCGCCUGGGGAGUACGGUCGCAAGNUUAAAACUCAAAAGAUAUAGCGNGNGAGAGCGACGACGACGACGACGGAGGAGAG
rnacentral:rRNA from 1 species